rnacentral:rRNA from 1 species
UAGGGAAUCUUCCGCAAUGGACGAAAGUCUGACGGAGCAACGCCGCGUGAGUGAAGAAGGAUUUCGGUUCGUAAAACUCUGUUGUUAGGGAAGAAAAAAUGUAUAGUAACUAUAUACAAAAGAGACGGUACCUAACCAGAAAGCCACGGCUAACUACGUGCCAGCAGCCGCGGUAAUACGUAGGUGGCAAGCGUUGUCCGGAAUUAUUGGGCGUAAAGCGCGCGCAGGUGGUUUAGAAAGUCUGAUGUGAAAGCCCACGGCUCAACCGUGGAGGGUCAUUGGAAACUAAUAAUCUAGAGUGCAGGAGAGAAAAGUGGAAUUCCUAGUGUAGCGGUGAAAUGCGUAGAGAUUAGGAGGAACACCGGUGGCGAAAGCGGCUUUUUGGCCUGCAACUGACACUGAGGCGCGAAAGCGUGGGGAGCAAACAGG